UACGUAGGGUGCAAGCGUUGUCCGGAAUUAUUGGGCGUAAAGAGCGUGUAGGCGGCCCGAUAAGUCCGCUGUGAAAGUCCAGGGCUCAACCCUGGAAUGCCGGUGGAUACUGUCGGGCUCGAGUUCGGAAGAGGUGAGUGGAAUUCCUGGUGUAGCGGUGAAAUGCGCAGAUAUCAGGAGGAACACCGGUGGCGAAGGCGGCUUGCUGGGCCUUACCUGACGCUGAGGAGCGAAAGCGUGGGGAGCGAACAGG
rnacentral:rRNA from 1 species